CCAAGGUCAAAGGUCAUCUGAGGUCAAGUUGUACAAUAGGCUGAAAAUGUAAAAUUGGUCUCAUUUGAAAAAUUGAAGUCCAAUUGAAACCAAACUUUGGUCAUAGUUGCGACAUGGCAACUUUCAUACUGAUUAGUUUUCUUCAAUAAAAUGAAGUGUGUGAAUAUAUGUGGCUUUUGAAAUUUUCGAUUGAAGGGUAGGGCAAUGCGCUAGUGUUCACUAGAUGUUCAAGCGAUGUUCACUGCAGUUUACUUAAUUGAAAAAUAUCAGCCCGUUGUCUUUGAAAGUACUUUGACACACCUGUGUGCUUUAUAUUAUCGAGAUGGCUAUUUUUACAGAAGCCAUGACGCGUUUUUCAACAGCCAUAGUUACAGAAUCACAACAUAACACGGCAAAUCUAUAUCAGGUCUUAAUUUUUCUACAGUGUUUGAAGGGCUUUGUUAGCUCCAGAACUUAAACGAUCAUUUUGAAUGCCAAAGGUAGUGAGUUCGAAUCCCGGAGACCUUGUUUUUGUUAAAUUAGUUCCCAAAGUGUUUUCUUACUUUGAUUGGUUUUAGUCAAAUCCUACUUUUGAUUGAAGUAGAACUAGUUUUCUCUUUCUUUCUGAUUCGUUGGACACAGUUUGAUAACGUGUUUCCAUGAGAAGUUUCAGGUGUUAUCUGAGGUAGAACGUACCGUACAUGUAUUUCAGUUUUAAACUUGAGAAAAACAAAACAGCCUUGAAGUUAAUCUACACUUACUUCAUGAACUACACAGGGUAUUCAAGUAUUAUAACUCAGGCCAGACAUUGUAACUGAAGAACAGACAUCUAACCCUUUUGUGAUGAGGCGAUAGGAUGUAGGCAAUUAAAAUAAAAACACUUACAGAAGCGUACUUUACAGUAAUCAAGUAACGUUUUCCUUAACCCUAACUCCCAUCUUAGUGUAACUAAGUAGGGAAGACAGUGUCUGUCAGAAUCCAUCACUCAUGCUGCUUCACAUAAUGCUUCAGGACCAAAUCCAUUGAAAUCCACCACUGGUGCUGGUGGAUUUUGAUGGACUUGGUACGCAUGGUAUCUGCCAACAUUUCCCCAAAUAGGGGAAUGGAUUUUGAUGGAGUUGGUAUUAAAGGUUAGGGUUAAACUAAGUCCACAAGUGUAGAGGGUGAUUACGUUAAAAUAAGACAAGAAGUUAGUAUACAAGGGGGGGGGGGGGGUGUUGAUAUGUAUUUUGUGCAGGAACAUACAGUCCGUGUUAACAAAUACUUUAUGUAAAUCAAAAAAAUAAAUGAGCAUUUUGUUUUUAAACAAUUUUUGGGUGUGAAUAAGACAACACUGGAACACUGGCCUAAACUAGCUUGGUCAUAGCGUCACCGUCACCACAAAUUGACACUGUGCGCAUGAGUGCGCCGCACUCGCGCGUAUUUACAGAACUGGAAUAUUUUAGGUUUCACGAACUGACAUCCUCCACAGUGCGGCACUUGUAGAGCGCACCCCGUACAUUUUCAGUUUCACGAACAGACAUUGAUCUUAAUUUUACCAAUUAAAACGCUUUCGAAUUAAAAUUUUGUAUAAUCACACGAGUACACGGAUGGAUUAAAUUCGUGUCAAACCUUUCAAACCGUUUUUCUCCGUUGUGUAUUGCCACAUCAUGCCUGGGUGUCAGUUCGCUAGACCGAAAAUGUUGAUUACGUUGUUUUUUUUCGAACUGACGCCCCUUUGUGCGUGAGUGUCAGUUCGUUGUGUCGGUAACAAUGGAUACCACUUGGACAUGAUUUUCAUUUUAAUGAAAUGAAAAAAAAGGUAUUUUAGGGUUACCUGUAGCACCCCCAUGCUCAAAAAUUUUCGAUUAUCUGCAGAUAAAUCUGCGGAAUUCCUUCCUUUUAGGACGGAAAGUAGUCAAUGUUUUGUUCUCCUUGCCAUUAUGUGUGUGUACACAUGUAUUUUUUCAGGUUCAGUAACAAAUCGUGUCAGUGUUCCGUUGCAUAAUGUACAAAAAUGUACAUAUGUAGUGUGUGUAACGUAAAUUAUUGUCGAUGUGCAAUCUUUAAUGUAUUCAGUGAUGUUUCCUGAUUUUUUGUUUUGUUUAACGUCUCAAUUUUAUUUCCUUCUCCCAUUUUCUCAUUUUAGAAAAAAAUAUUGAGAAAAAAUUUGAGAAAAAAUAUUCAAACAAAAUUUGAUAAAAUUUACCAAAAAUUCUUAAAUCUGAAUUAAAUCACAGAUUGAGGAAAAAAGCCAUUGAUCAUGUUAUUGUUUUAUUGAUAUAAAAUUGAAAAUAUAUAAGAGAUGUAAAUUUGUAUAUGUUUUGAGCAAUACACCUGUACACACUAAUAUUUUGUGAAGUACUUUUAUUGUAACAACGUGCGAACUAUCAGCUACAUGUAGUGUAGUCUUAUUUGAACAGUGUAGUUGUGCUGCUUGAUAAGGCCAAAUAAAAAA
rnacentral:lncRNA from 1 species